AUUGAACGCUGGCGGCAGGCCUAACACAUGCAAGUCGAGCGGAUGAAGGGAGCUUGCUUCUGGAUUCAGCGGCGGACGGGUGAGUAAUGCCUAGGAAUCUGCCUGGUAGUGGGGGACAACGUUUCGAAAGGAGCGCUAAUACCGCAUACGUCCUACGGGAGAAAGCAGGGGACCUUCGGGCCUUGCGCUAUCAGAUGAGCCUAGGUCGGAUUAGCUAGUUGGUGAGGUAAUGGCUCACCAAGGCGACGAUCCGUAACUGGUCUGAGAGGAUGAUCAGUCACACUGGAACUGAGACACGGUCCAGACUCCUACGGGAGGCAGCAGUGGGGAAUAUUGGACAAUGGGCGAAAGCCUGAUCCAGCCAUGCCGCGUGUGUGAAGAAGGUCUUCGGAUUGUAAAGCACUUUAAGUUGGGAGGAAGGGUUGUAGAUUAAUACUCUGCAAUUUUGACGUUACCGACAGAAUAAGCACCGGCUAACUCUGUGCCAGCAGCCGCGGUAAUAC
rnacentral:rRNA from 1 species